GGUUGACUCAACUUGAAGGGCAUCAAAAGUUGAUUUUUUUGUGAUUCUUUAGUGUUUUGUGUAAUGGGUUUUGGAUUUGGUGAUUGAUUUUGGGGGUUUUGAUGCGAGCUGGCGAUGCAUUGCCAUCUGGGUCCGAAGGAUGAGACUGUUAAGAUUUUGGGGUUUCCAGUCUGGACAGGGGUCUGCUUAAUCUUGGUGGUGUGUUUGGUUGCGUGAUUAGUGAAGGUCCUUGGGUUUUUGUUGGUCUUCCAAAUGUUGUCAAGGCAUGGAGUACACAAGUGUAUGCUUUGUUCGAGGGUAAUUACUUGUUUUUUGCCGUUUGUUUGCUUUGGUGCAAGGAAGCAGGGACAUUAAUAAAUGAAAGUAGCCAUCCUUGGUCAUUUUUGUGGUGGUAGGAGAGUUUGCGAUGAAAUAACUCGUCAGGGAAGAAUAUUGAUGCAGAGGCAAUAUACAUCGAUUUUAGUUGACAGCGAGGCGCUUGAGGCAAGAUGGUACUGCUCAAUUGUCAAUUUUCAGCUCUAUCUUGCGUUGACUUUACUGUUCCGUCUCCUUUGGGAAUUCUUUGCAGGCAAAAUGGUACAGCUCUACUGCCAAUUUGCCAGCUUCACUUUGCUUUAAUUCCACUGUUGUUUGUGCUUGGAUUUUUACCAGUACCUGAUGAUUCAGGAAAAACGAUUACUUCUACUACAACGUUACACCUUCAUCCAGCUAUUUUGCAUUUUCCUUUUCGAUAUGCAUUUUGAUCCCCUUCCCCUGUUGGCAGCCCUUUCUUAAACAACUCGAGAUUUCUCUUUCACUUGAAGGGAAAUUAGGCUCCUACACGCAUUUGCGUUGACGAUUCAAACCAUGAUUUUUAGAUUCAUUUUCCUACAUUUUUUACCUAUAGACCAUUGAUUCAUGCUA